rnacentral:tRNA from 1 species
GAGCAUCUAGUUUAAAUACUGAUAAAACACUAGAAUGUCAAACUAGAAAUACCCUAUAGAGGUGAUUCUCU